GACUUAUGCAACGAUAACUGAAAGUAAUCAACUUAUUUCACAUAUAUAAUCAUGGUUUUGAAUACACCCUUAGCCAAAACGAAUUUAGCCAAUCAUACUCAAAGCAAAACAAAGAUUACAUGAAUUAGACAUUGAAAUAUAAGAUAGAAUACACCUAAAAUUGUUCAACAACUCAGAAUGAAGAGCCAAACAAUUGAGUGAAUCUGUCCCCUUUCCUUGCUUGCGGCAGAUUGGAUGUUGGUGGUUUCUUGGGUAAUUGAAUGAUGUAGAAUGGAUGGAAGACGUAUGGAAGUGUUUAGGGUUGAUGGGUGGUGCGGCUAGGGUGGUUUUGGGUCAGAAAAUAUGGUGAAUGGUGAAGGAAUGGGGCUGUUGAAGGUGGUGUUCAGUUUCUGGCGUGAAUGGGUGAGUUUCUGGAUGAAUGGGCUUUUGUGGCUGCACAAACAUGUUUAUUUAAAGGGAUUAGGAAAUUAAAAACCCUAGGCUAAUUAGGUAAUCAGGAAUUAAGUUUAAAGCUUCUAGAAUUAAGGAAACAAAUCAGAAAAUUAAGGGAAAGGGCAAGGGAAAUUCGGGCUAGGGUUUAAAACACAAAAGGAAGGUGUUUUAAAGCAUAAAAACAGGAAAUAGGAAGAGGAAAUGCAAAGGGGGUGCGGCAAGGGUUCAAAAGGGUUCUAGGCUUUUGUUUUGUGUCCUAGAAUGCUUAGAAAGUCUUCAUAAUUGCUGAAAACUUUUUAGGGACAAUUAGGAAAAUCAAACCAAAGUAGGAAACCUUGGCUUAACUUUCCUACUUCAAGUAGGAAUCCUUGUUGGAGUAGGAAUCCUUGUUCUUCUAGGAAUCCUCAUGUGAUUAGGAAUCCAUCUUCAAUUAGGAAUCCUUCGUUGAUUAGGAAUCCUUCGUCGAUUAGGAAUCCUUAUUAGGAAUCCUCCUUCAUGUAAGCACUUUCCUACUUCAACUAGGAAACCUUGUUCAAGUAGGAAUCAUCAUCUUCAAGUCUUCAAAUUCGUCCAAACCUUGGCUCCAAUUAUGUGAUAAUCAUUCCAAGCCCAAUUUGCUCCAAAAAGCUCCAAAAUGCAUCUUCUUGCAUCCUUUGGCCUUAAAACCUGAAAACACAUAAAACUAGCUUAAAAGACUACUUUAACUAAGAAAACACCAUGGAAAUGCAUAAGAACUAGCUAACUAAGGCGCAUAAAUAUGCUCCUAUCAAAUUCCCCCACACUUAGCUUUUGCUAGUCCUCGAGCAAAACAAAACAAACAAAAGAAACAAAAACAAAACAAAACCUAAACCUUCCAACAAUUGCCUCAGGGAUUUCCAAUGCACAUGACAUGUUAAAGAUUGUUAUCCCCACAGAUUUGAGUCAUCUUUACACAAGCACAUACUUAAUUAAAGCCACCACUUACUAGUUCACAAGUAAUCAAUUAAAACAAUGCUUUGAAUGUAGUAACAUGCCUUAGAGAAUUCCCUCAAUUCCUUACAAGAUAUACACUCUAUUUUCACUCAGAUUUUCUAACUCCACACCCUACACUAGUCAUAUGUGAGAAGAUUGAUGUAGAUAUGAAAACGAAUGCUCACAUAUAUGUUUCACAAAGAACGCAAUUUCUAGAGUUAAGAAGCAUGUUUAGAUAUGAUCUCAUGAAUGGAAUGCUACUACUUAGAUGCGAGAACCAGUGACACCAUAUAUGCUCAUACCAAAUUCAAACUCCACAAAUUGAAACACAUAACACUCAAGAUAGAAGUUAAGGGUUGUAAUGGGGCUUGGGGUGUUGGUUAACAAGGAAAGGAUAGGGAAAACAAACGUUCUUCAAGCAAUAGUAAGCAAAGCAAUGAAAUUGAGACUUAGAAUUCACUUAGAUUGCAGAAAUUAACUUUAAAACACAAGGGAAAGAUUUAGACAACUCCUUAGGGCCGAAUUCAUUGUUUUGGACCCUUACUUCAACAAACAAUACUUUGGAACUCUUUUUCACAUCUUUUCAACUCUUUUUUCAUACUUUUCACACUUUUUUUUUCUUCAUUUUUUUCUUUUUCCACGAAUUUUUUCUUUUCUUUUCUUUCCACACGUGCCUAUGGCACACAAAAUCACCAAAAGAAAUACUUCCCCCACACUUGUUUUCUGCCAACAUAAAUCAAAAGGAAUUCAAUUUGAAUCAUGCUUUACUAUGCUUUAAGAACAAGGGUAUGGAUGGUCCUAAUCUAGGCUAGGUGAGGAAAACAUGGGUUAAACAAAGAAUAGGCUAAACAAGGCUCAACGGGGUUAAAAACCUACAAAACAUAAAUAACAGAGGGGAUUUACGGCUUUUUGGCUAAGGUGGUGGUCACUACACAACUUCAUCUUGAAUAUGUGUUAUGCAAAUUCAAUAACAUGCUUUGAAUGAAAUGGGCAUGAGUUCUAGCAUUUGGAACUAAAUGAUGAAACGCCUUCUAAGUAGCAACCAAGCAAGGAAUAAUGAGAUCAUGCAACGACUUAGAAAACAAAGAAUGCACAGAUUUUAACUCUCCAAAUAAACGUUUAGGCUCAAGUCUCACAAGGUUGUAGCGUUAGUUUGAGUUCCUUCCUUCAAGCAUGUUACAAAAACUGAUUUUUUUCCUUUAUGAUUGCAUGUGAAUUCAUAAGUUAUAACCACAACCAAGCAUAAACAAAGAGUAAAUCAAACUUUCAUCCAUGUUAAUCACUCUCUUUAACAGUCAUGCAAUUAAAAACCAAAUCCUCAUCAUUGUGUUGGAAGGUACUCUAGACACAAACACACAAAAACGACUCAAAACACUCUUUUUAGGCUUUUCAAAACACUUUUUUUCAAAUUUUUAUGUGAUUUUCGGAGUUUUAUGUCAACACACACUAAAACACACCAAAACUACUUAAAAACACUUAAAAACAGCAAGGAACAAGUCUAUAAGUAAUGGGUGAUAAAAUCCCACGAAUUUGCAUAAAAAACACUUAGUUAACCCCCCACACUUAAAUCAAACAUUGUCCUCAAUGUUUAAGCAUAAAAUCACACCAAAUAAAAGUACACACAUAAACAGCAACUAAACAAAUAAACUGGCAGAUUAGAAAGAAUCAACAAAGAGAAGGGUUUUAGGAACGCAAAUCUGGAAUUGGAGUGAUUCCUAAGUCUUCCUUUGUUGAAUGCAUGGGUUGCCUCCCACGUAGCGCUUGCUUUAACGUCUUGCAGCCGGACGAUACUUCUCUUUAAGCUCCCGUAGGUCCCAUAGCAUGGAAUUGAUCCUUGAACGGAAGGUGAUACUUGAAGUGAUCCGGCAAUGGUUUAAAUUCGAGAGUGGGUUCCUGAAUUAUUAACAACAUGUAAGUAUAAAACGUAAUGGAAAUUGGAGAAGGUGACUUACUUGCUUUGUCCGACAAGAACUUAAUGACAAACACCACUUCUUUGAAAGUUUUAGGGACUUUGAAUUUGGCCAGAUUUACUACGAUGGUUGUGAUUUGUCCCGUGUCAUCAAAUUCAACUUCUUUGGGGAUGGUUGUCUCAAGUACAUGCUCUUUGAUGAAUUCUAGAUACUCCCCAGCCACUUUCUUCUCUUGAAUCCUUCUUCUUGGUGUACAAUUCUCUUCAGGGAUUUCAACACAAUCUGGAACUUGUUUUGGUGUACCAAGAAUUGGGAUAUCACUUUGCACCUUGGGAAGGGCUUCCACGAUGUCUUUUUCACUCUCUUCUUCCUUGGGAAUAAAAAACCUACGAGGAAAAGGGACAUUUGGUGGAAUGGGGAAAGAAAGAAUUGAAUUUGGAACCAACUUACCUGAGUUGGACGGCAUAGGGACUCUAGGAGGCUGCGGCAAGGGUUGUUCUACCCUUGCCGUGGGUGUGUCUUCUUCCUCCUCCUCAAUUAGUAGAUGUUCGUCCUCCUCUUGGCUUUGUUUGGACGCCCUUGGUUCAGCGCCGACCUCCAUGGCACUUCCCAAAGUGAUGGCUUUAGUAAUUUCAAAAUCUUCCAUUGAACUUACAAUGUUUGCGUUGGAGAAUUCACUUUGUUCUUGAAUUUGUGCCAUGAACUCCACAAUCUGCCCAACGUGCUUCUCUAAUUCAUCCAUCUUGUUGGCUUGAUUUUCUCCUUCAUGUGUCAAAGAGGUGAGUAAUUGAACAAUUUGGUCAUUAUCCAUUGACGUACCUGAAUUUGUUUGGGAAGAUUGUGGUGGUACAUAUGGCCACUGAUAGAACUCCUCAGAUGGCUGCGAGCAUUCUUCUUGUUGUGAGCCCUGCGUCAAAGAGGUUAGUACAUCAAGAAUUUCAUCAUAACUCAUGGGCAUACUUGAAUUCGAUUGGAUUUGUUGUGGGGGAGGUGGUGGUGGCUGCAAAGGCGUGGUGUAAAACUCCUCAUAUGGCUGCCAAUAUGCAUCUUGUUGAGCCUCCUUGGCUUGAUUUUGUGAGCCCUGCACCAAAGAAUUUAAUUCGUUAAGAAUUUGAUUAUAAUCUAUUGACGAACCUGAGUUUGAUUGAGCAUAGUGCAUAGGUCUUGAAUAGAACUCCUCAUAUGGCUGCCAAUAUCCUUCGUGUUGAGCUUGUUGAGAUUCCCACCACAUAGAAGUUGAAUGAUCACUCCAAUCUCUUUGUGGACAUUGAUUGGCUUGAUAUCCUUGCCCAUAAGACGCACCAAAUGUAGGGACACUUUGCAUUGUGGUCCUUUCGGCAUACUGCGACAAUUGAGAAGUAAGAUUUGCCAAUUGAGCUUCAAUGCUACCAAAAUCCAUGUCCUACUUCUCUAGUACCUAAAAUCAAAGAAACAAAACUAUAUCAAAUAUCAAAAGUAAAUAAAACAAAGCAAAACAAAAUCAGUAACUAAGAUAGAAAACAAACGAAAAUAAAAAUAAAAAGAAACAACGAGGGAUUAGCAAAAUUGCUAAUCCCCGGCAACGGCGCCAAAAUUUGAUGCGUAAAAUAACUAAACACACAAAUUAAACCCUAUUGUUGACAAAUGUAGUAUGGAUAAGUAGGGAUCGUUCUUAAACCGGGGAUUAGGAGGGAUUGCUAAAACACUCUAAACUGACUCAAAUCUGUAAAUCAAAGUUUAAAAUACUAAACUAGACUCAAAGAAUGCAAAACUAAAAUCUAAAAUACUAAAACAAACCAAAAGACUCAAAACAGCAAACAAACACUCAAAAUUGCCUAAAAACCACUUUCUGGGCAGUUUUGGGACUCUAACACAACUUGGACGAAUUUUUGGUUUCCUAAUGACCUAAAACACCUAAAAACAUAUUCUAAGACAAGUUCUAAGUAAUAUGACUUAAAGGAAUAAGGUGGGAUUGAUUUUGGACGAAAAUAAUUAAAUGGGCAGAUUGAAAAAGAAAACAGAUUGUAAGACAAAAUUGUGAUGAAUCAAUGGAUGAUGGAAUGGCUAAGGGGUUCUUCUCCACACAUGAAAUAUAUGCAAUGUAAAUCAAUUUCCAGUUAUCAAUUUAAUAAGUUGUGAACCUCGACACUCCAAGUUAAUUAGGUCCGCUUAAAUUAACCUUCAGAUUUCCCUAGAAUCAUUGAAUUGGAUGAAUAUGCAUCGCAAACAAAUUAUUCCUAACAAGUUCUCUAUAUGAACAGCAUGAUAAAGAUACAAGUUAGAAUCAUUACGUUCUUUGGAAAUCAUAAGCAUCGACAAGGCAUUUGUAACUAUGAAAAGCAUGAUACUCUUGCCAGGAAUCUACUUAACACGAUCGUGACUAGCGACCUUCACUACUUGCGAAUAUAAAUUCAUAACGAUUAGGUGAAACAAACUUAUAUCCUAGCACCAAAUUCAAGCAUGCAAAUUAAGCGUGCACUCUCAAUCAACAUACAAGAAUAAGUUCUAAAUCAAACGGUUAAGCAAAUUGUAUUCACGACUUAUGCAACGAUAACUGAAAGUAAUCAACUUAUUUCACAUAUAUAAUCAUGGUUUUGAAUACACCCUUAGCCAAAACGAAUUUAGCCAAUCAUACUCAAAGCAAAACAAAGAUUACAUGAAUUAGCCAUUGAAAUAUAAGAUAGAAUACACCUAAAAUUGUUCAACAACUCAGAAUGAAGAGCCAAACAAUUGAGUGAAUCUGUCCCCUUUCCUUGCUUGCGGCAGAUUGGAUGUUGGUGGUUUCUUGGGUAAUUGAAUGGCAAUUGUAGUAAUGAUGUAAGUAUGGAUCGUUCUAACCGGGGAUUAACUAGGGGUGCUAAUCUAAUACAAAUCGACUUAGAAACACAAAAACUAAACUUAAAGACUCUAAUUAGACUACUAAGAUUCAAAACAGAUUUGAAACACUCAAAUCUGCCCAAAACUGACUAAAACAAGUUAAUUGACUCAAACAGCAACUAAGACAAGAUUUGGACGAAUUUGACAAAACUUAUGACUCAAAAUACUUAAAAACACCAAAGAGGACAGAUUAUGAAGACUCAAACUUAACAAAAUAUGGGGGAAUUGUGUUUGGACGAAUUUGAACUAAAUGCACAGAUUGUAAAUUAAAACAGAUUGUAAACUAAAUGUGAUGAAUCAAUGGAUGAUGGAAUGGCUAAGGGGUUCUUCUCCACCCAUGAAAUUUAUGCAACGUAAAUCGAUUUCCAGUUAUCAAUUCAAUAAAUUAUGAACCUCGACACUCCAAGUUAAUUAGGUUCGCUUAAAUUAACUUUCAGAUUUCCCUAGAAUCAUUGAAUUGGAUGAAUAUGCAUCGCAAACAAAUUAUUCCUAACAAGUUCUCUAUAUGAACAACAUGAUAAAGAUACAAGUUAGAAUCAUUAAGUUCUUUGGAAAUCAUAAGCAUCGACAAGGCAAUUGUAACUAUGAAAAGCAUGAUACUCCUGCCAUGAAUCUACUUAACACGAUCGUGACUAGCGAUCUUCACUACUUGCGAAUAUAAAUUCAUAACGAUUAGGUGAAACAAACUUAUAUUCUAGCACCAAAUUCCAGCAUGCAAAUCAAGUGUGCACUCUCAAUCAACAUACAAGAAUAAGUUUUGAAUUAAACGGUUGAGCAAAUUGUAUUCACGACUUAUGAAACGAUAACUGGAAGUAAUCAAUUUAUUUCACAUAAAUAAACAUGGUUUCGAAUACACCCUUAGCCAAAACGAAUUUAGCCAAUCAUACUCAAUGAAAAACAAAGAUUACAAGAAGUAGACAUUGAAAUAUAAGAUAGAAUACACCUAAAAUUGUUCAACAACUCAGAUUGAAGAGCCAAACAACUUUGUGAACUGUCUCCUUCUCUUCCCCUUGCGGCAGAUUGGGAUGGUGUGGUUUCUGGGCUGUUUUUGUGAUGUAGAAUGGAUUAUGGAUGGUAUAGAGGCACGGCAAGGCUUGGGGAUGGUGUGUGGGUGUUGUGUGGAAGGUGUGGAUAUGAAGAAUGGUGGUGGAAAUCGGCAGAGAUGGAGGAGGAAUGGUUUCUGAGGUUGUGGAUGGGUUUUGACGAAUUUUGGAGAGUGUGUGGCUGACUGGAGAUGUUUUUGGCUGCACAAACCUGUUUAUUUAAAGGGAUUAGGAAAUUAAAAACCCUAGGCUAAUUAGGUAAUCAGGAAUUAAGUUUAAAGCUUCUAGAAUUAAGGAAACAAAUCAGAAAAUUAAGGGAAAGGGCAAGGGAAAUUCGGCUAGGGUUUAAAACACAAAAGGAAGGUGUUUUAAAGCAUAAAAACAGGAAAUAGGGAAGAGGAAAUGCAAAGGGGGGUGCGGCAAGGGUUCAAAAGGGUUCUAGGCUUUUGUUUUGUGUCCUAGAAUGCUUAGAAAGUCUUCAUAAUUGCUGAAACUUUUAGGGACAAUUAGGAAAAAUCAAACCAAAGUAGGAAACCUUGGCUUAACUUUCCUACUUCAAGUAGGAAUCCUUGUUGGAGUAGGAAUCCUUGUUCUUCUAGGAAUCCUCAUGUGAUUAGGAAUCCAUCUUCAAUUAGGAAUCCUUCGUUGAUUAGGAAUCCUUCGUCGAUUAGGAAUCCUUCGUCGAUUAGGAAUCCUCCUUCAUGUAAGCACUUUCCUACUUCAACUAGGAAACCUUGUUCAAGUAGGAAUCAUCAUCUUCAAGUCUUCAAAUUCGUCCAAACCUUGGCUCCAAUUAUGUGAUAA
rnacentral:lncRNA from 1 species